AUACGGAGGGUGCGAGCGUUAAUCGGAAUUACUGGGCGUAAAGCGUACGUAGGCGGUUGGUUAAGUUUGAUGUGAAAGCCCCGGGCUUAACCUAGGAACUGCAUCUGAUACUGGUCGUCUAGAGUUUAAGAGAGGGAAGUGGAAUUCCUGGUGUAGAGGUGAAAUUCGUAGAUAUCAGGAGGAACACCGGUGGCGAAGGCGACUUCCUGGACCAAUACUGACGCUGAGGCGCGAAGGCGUGGGGAGCAAACAGGAUUAGAAACCCCAGUAGUCC
rnacentral:rRNA from 1 species